rnacentral:rRNA from 1 species
CCUACGGGCGGCUGCAGUGGGGAAUAUUGGACAAUGGGGGCAACCCUGAUCCAGCCAUGCCGCGUGUGUGAAGAAGGCCCUCGGGUUGUAAAGCACUUUCAGUGAGGAAGAACGCCUGGUGGUUAAUACCCAUCAGGAAAGACAUCACUCACAGAAGAAGCACCGGCUAACUCCGUGCCAGCAGCCGCGGUAAUACGGAGGGUGCGAGCGUUAAUCGGAAUUACUGGGCGUAAAGCGCGCGUAGGUGGCUUGAUAAGCCGGUUGUGAAAGCCCCGGGCUCAACCUGGGAACGGCAUCCGGAACUGUCAAGCUAGAGCGCAGGCGAGGAAGGUAGAAUUCCCGGUGUAGCGGUGAAAUGCGUAGAGAUCGGGAGGAAUACCAGUGGCGAAGGCGGCCUUCUGGACUGACACUGACACUGAGGUGCGAAAGCGUGGGUAGCAAACAGGAUUAGAUACCCCAGUAGUC